rnacentral:rRNA from 1 species
UACGGGGGGGGCAAGCGUUGUUCGGAUUCAUUGGGCGUAAAGGGUGCGUAGGUGGCGCCAUAAGUCGGGUGUGAAAUCUCGGGGCUUAACUCCGAAACUGCAUUCGAUACUGUGGUGCUUGAGGACUGGAGAGGAGACUGGAAUUCAUGGUGUAGCAGUGAAAUGCGUAGAGAUCAUGAGGAAGACCAGUGGCGAAGGCGGGUCUCUGGACAGUUCCCGACACUGAGGCACGAAGGCCAGGGGAGCAAACGGG